rnacentral:rRNA from 1 species
GUGGCGAACGGGUGAGUAACACGUGGGCAAUCUGCCCUUCACUCUGGGACAAGCCCUGGAAACGGGGUCUAAUACCGGAUAACACUCCCACUCGCAUGGGUGGGGGUUAAAAGCUCCGGCGGUGAAGGAUGAGCCCGCGGCCUAUCAGCUUGUUGGUGAGGUAAUGGCUCACCAAGGCGACGACGGGUAGCCGGCCUGAGAGGGCGACCGGCCACACUGGGACUGAGACACGGCCCAGACUCCUACGGGAGGCAGCAGUGGGGAAUAUUGCACAAUGGGCGAAAGCCUGAUGCAGCGACGCCGCGUGAGGGAUGACGGCCUUCGGGUUGUAAACCUCUUUCAGCAGGGAAGAAGCGAAAGUGACGGUACCUGCAGAAGAAGCGCCGGCUAACUACGUGCCAGCAGCCGCGGUAAUACGUAGGGCGCAAGCGUUGUCCGGAAUUAUUGGGCGUAAAGAGCUCGUAGGCGGCUUGUCACGUCGGGUGUGAAAGCCCGGGGCUUAACCCCGGGUCUGCAUUCGAUACGGGCUAGCUAGAGUGUGGUAGGGGAGAUCGGAAUUCCUGGUGUAGCGGUGAAAUGCGCAGAUAUCAGGAGGAACACCGGUGGCGAAGGCGGAUCUCUGGGCCAUUACUGACGCUGAGGAGCGAAAGCGUGGGGAGCGAACAGGAUUAGAUACCCUGGUAGUCCACGCCGUAAACGG